UACGUAGGGUGCAAGCGUUAAUCGGAAUUACUGGGCGUAAAGCGUGCGCAGGCGGUUAUAUAAGACAGUUGUGAAAUCCCCGGGCUCAACCUGGGAACUGCAUCUGUGACUGUAUAGCUAGAGUACGGUAGAGGGGGAUGGAAUUCCGCGUGUAGCAGUGAAAUGCGUAGAUAUGCGGAGGAACACCGAUGCGAAGGCAAUCCCCUGGACCUGUACUGACGCUCAUGCACGAAAGCGUGGGGAGCAAACAGG
rnacentral:rRNA from 1 species